UGUCCAAUCAAUUUAGUAGAUAUUUGUAAUUUAUAUCGUCUACAAAGUUGAUUCGACAGU
rnacentral:precursor_RNA from 1 species